CAUCCCUUGUAUACCAAAGGAGCAAAUCCGCCGAAAGAUGGGGCUCAUAUCUGAUUAGUUAGUUGGUGGGGUAACGGCUCACCAAGACUGCGAUCAGUAGCCGGACUGAGAGGUUGAACGGCCACAUUGGGACUGAGAUACGGCCCAGACUCCUACGGGAGGCAGCAGUGGGGAAUAUUGGGCAAUGGGCGAAAGCCUGACCCAGCAACGCCGCGUGAAGGAAGAAGGUCCUCGGAUUGUAAACUUCUUUUAUGAGGGACGAAGGACGUGACGGUACCUCAUGAAUAAGCCACGGCUAACUACGUGCC
rnacentral:rRNA from 1 species